rnacentral:misc_RNA from 1 species
AACGCAUAUUGCACCCUUUGGUUAUUCCGAAGGGUAUGCCUGUUUGAGUGUCGUUAAUGUAUCAAACCAUCAAGUUUGCUUGCUUGGUCUUGGAUAAUGAGGGUUGCUGGAAGUUGAUGAUCAGCUCCCUUUAAAUGUAUUAGCUUGGAUUGUAUAAGCCAUUGAAGCUUGAGCUGAUAUGAAUACACUGUAUUAAAUGCUUUUGCUGAAGUACUGCUUGUUCAAGCUUAUAAUUGUCUCCUUGAGACUGUCCAAGGACAUGUAAAAUCAUGAUCAUGACCUCAAAUCAGGUAGGACUACCCGCUGAACUUAA